AUUGAACGCUGGCGGCAGGCCUAACACAUGCAAGUCGAACGGUAACAGGAAGAAGCUUGCUUCUUUGCUGACGAGUGGCGGACGGGUGAGUAAUGUCUGGGAAACUGCCUGAUGGAGGGGGAUAACUACUGGAAACGGUAGCUACUACCGCAUAACGUCGCAAGACCAAAAAGGGGGACCUCCGGGCCUCUUGCCAUCGGAUGUGCCCAGAUGGGAUUAGCUAGUAGGUGGGGUAACGGCUCACCUAGGCGACGAUCCCUAGCUGGUCUGAGAGGAUGACCAGCCACACUGGAACUGAGACACGGUCCAGACUCCUACGGGAGGCAGCAGUGGGGAAUAUUGCACAAUGGGCGAAAGCCUGAUGCAGCCAUGCCGCGUGUAUGAAGAAGGCCUUCGGGUUGUAAAGUACUUUCAGCGGGGAGGAAGGGAAGAAAGUUAAUACCUUGGCUCAUUGACGUUACCCGCAGAAGAAGCACCGGCUAACUCCGUG
rnacentral:rRNA from 1 species